rnacentral:rRNA from 1 species
UAGAGUUUGAUCCUGGCUCAGGAUGAACGCUGGCGGCGUGCCUAAUACAUGCAAGUCGAGCGAACGGACGAGAGUGCUUGCACUCUCUGAUGUUAGCGGCGGACGGGUGAGUAACACGUGGGUAACCUACCUAUAAGACUGGGAUAACUUCGGGAAACCGGAGCUAAUACCGGAUAAUAUUUAGCUUCGCAUGAAGCAAUAGUGAAAGACGGUUCUGCUGUCACUUAUAGAUGGACCCGCGGUGUAUUAGCUAGUUGGUGAGGUAACGGCUCACCAAGGCAACGAUACAUAGCCGACCUGAGAGGGUGAUCGGCCACACUGGGACUGAGACACGGCCCAGACUCCUACGGGAGGCAGCAGUAGGGAAUCUUCCGCAAUGGACGAAAGUCUGACGGAGCAACGCCGCGUGAGUGAAGAAGGUUUUCGGAUCGUAAAACUCUGUUGUAAGGGAAGAACAAGUACGUUAGUAACUGAACGUACCUUGACGGUACCUUACCAGAAAGCCACGGCUAACUAAC